rnacentral:rRNA from 1 species
UACGUAGGUGGCAAGCGUUGUCCGGAUUUAUUGGGCGUAAAGAGCUCGUAGGCGGCUUGGCAAGUCGGGUGUGAAAACUCCGGGCUCAACCUGGAGAUGCCACUCGAGACUGCUAUGGCUAGAGUCCGGUAGGGGACCACGGAAUUCCUGGUGUAGCGGUGAAAUGCGCAGAUAUCAGGAGGAACACCGGUGGCGAAGGCGGUGGUCUGGGCCGGCACUGACGCUGAGGAGCGAAAGCGUGGGGAGCAAACAGG